GAAAUUCAGGUUUCCCAAGAGAAGACCAUCGCCACUGUAUGUACCUCUCCGAGACAAAGUGAAGGAAAAGACGCCUAUACCUCAACGAAGCAAAGUGAAGGAAAAGACACCUUUACCUCAACAAGACAAAGUGAAGGUAAUGACACCUGUACCUCAACGAAGCAAAGUGAAGGAAAAGACGCCUGUACCUCAACGAAGCAAAGUGAAGGAAAAGACGCCUGUACCUCAACAAAGCAAAGUGAAUGAAAAGACACCUUUACCUCAACGAGGCAAAGUGAACAAAAGGACGCUUCCACCUAAACGGUUCAGUGUGAAAAUAAAGAUCAUUGGAACUCUCCUCC
rnacentral:lncRNA from 1 species